rnacentral:rRNA from 1 species
AACGUAGGACGCAAGCGUUAUCCGGAGUUACUGGGCGUAAAGCGCGGGCAGGCGGCUCGAAACGUCUGAUGUGAAAUCUCCUCGCUCAACGGGGAGAGGCCAUUGGAAACGGUCGAGCUGGAGGGCAGUAGAGGUAGGCGGAAUUCCGGGUGGAGUGGUGAAAUGCGUAGAGAUCCGGAGGAACACCAGAGGCGAAGGCGGCCUACUGGGCUGCACCUGACGCUGAGCCGCCAAAGCCAGGGGAGCGAACGGG